rnacentral:rRNA from 1 species
GUCUGCUGGAUUCGCCCUGAACACACCCGAUCCCAUCUGAUCUCGGAAGCUAAGCAAGGUUGGGCCUGGUUAGUACUUGAAUGGGAGACCACCUAGGAAAACCAGGUGCUGUAGGCG